rnacentral:rRNA from 1 species
AGUCGAACGGCAGCACGAAAGAGCUUGCUCUUUUGGUGGCGAGUGGCGAACGGGUGAGUAAUGCAUCGGAACGUACCGAGUAAUGGGGGAUAACUAUCCGAAAGGAUAGCUAAUACCGCAUACGCUUUGAGAAGGAAAGUGGGGGCUCUUCGGACCUCACGUUAUUCGAGCGGCCGAUGUCUGAUUAGCUAGUUGGUGGGGUAAAGGCCUACCAAGGCGACGAUCAGUAGCGGGUCUGAGAGGAUGAUCCGCCACACUGGGACUGAGACACGGCCCAGACUCCUACGGGAGGCAGCAGUGGGGAAUUUUGGACAAUGGGCGCAAGCCUGAUCCAGCCAUGCCGCGUGUCUGAAGAAGGCCUUCGGGUUGUAAAGGACUUUUGUUAGGGAAGAAAAGGAUAGUGUUAAUACCAUUAUCUGCUGACGGUACCUAAAGAAUAAGCACCGGCUAA